AGGGAAUAGGGUGCCAUUUGGGACGCGGCCACGUACAGUAAGUGGAAGUUCACCCAAUUGGAGAAAUAAGAGCGCACCAACCGACCGAUAGCAGAGGAGCAGAAAAUUAGAUAAAGAUGGACAGAGAGAGUGAAGGAAGAGAAGGAGGGAGGAGGAGAAAAAGAGGGAGAUCAGGUUUUCAGAAGAAGGGUCUGAAGCCAUUCGUUUGUCCCAGAAGAACAAGUAUUUUGUUUUGGAGAGGACUGAGGUCCCGGUGAACCACACGGUGUGAGUGCAGGAAGUCCAACCCCUGCAGCAGCUGGUACAUCAUAUCCUGUUAGGACACAUGGACAUUCAGACACAGUCUUAACAGGACCUGAGCCCUAGGACCAUGCCUCAGGACGACCUGGCCUGAUGACUCCU